rnacentral:tRNA from 1 species
GCCCUGGUGGUGAAAAGGUAGACACAAUUGAUUCAAAAUCAAUUAUCGAAAGAUGUGGAGGUUCAAAUCCUCUCCAGGGCA